CAGAGCAAGACCUUGUCUCAAAAAAAACAAAGCAUAAUGACAUAUGACCUUUUGACAAUAAAACUAAAAUUCAUAGAUGUUUGCCUUCAAAAUUCUAAAGAGAAAUUAUAAGCUAUUCUCAAGAAUGAGAGAAGUCUAGAGACAUUCUCAGUCACGCAGGUUUCAACGCUUCUACUGCCAUGUGUCUUUUCUCAGGAAGCCACAAAAGGGGGCUUUUUCUAAAAUAAGAGCACAGACAAAGAAAUAAGAAGAUAUGAGAUGUAAGAACAGAUGAUCUAACUCAAGAAUGAGAUGCUGGCAAUCUCCAGGAUGACUGGGAAGGAUAUCCCAGGAUUACAGCAGCCAUUCUGUGAUCACUUGGACGAAAGCCACACACCACAGAUGGCAGAGCAGGAAGAUAGACUCAGUCUGAUUCCUGAACAUCCUUUGUGCAGGUACUCUAGCCUGCAUUGCCUUCCUUUAUCCACUUUGUUACAGGAGGAAAAAAAACACCUCUCACUUGUUUAAGCCACUGAGGUAGUUUUUUGUAAUUAUGUUUGUUGUUGUUGUUGUUAAUUAAAAAUUGACACAAUCUUACUUGAUAGAUCUUUAUUAAUAAAAAUCCUGAAACAUAAGUAUAAAGGAAAUAAUGCAAUAUUGAAGUACUAACACAUGCUUAAAUGACCUUCACGUAUGAUCAUUAUAUCUAGAGAUAUUCCAAAAAUAUUCAGUGAAAGAAGGAAUUAGUCUUUCUUACCUAAUAUCACUGCCAUGGAAAGAUGAUAUCACUGGAUGGGUGUCCUGGCAACUCAUUCUAGUGGCUUUCCUGGAACAUUGCACAUGUCUGCUUUCAAUGAAGGAAGCUUUUACUUCAACACUUGGUGUUUUAUGAAUAUGCUUUCUUAUCCUCUCACAUGUUAAAAUGGAUAUUAAACUGGGAACAAUCUAGAUCUCAUUGACAGGAUAUGCCAGAGAUGGGGGAAAAAAUGUGGUUCAAGAAGAGGAUGAAUUUGAAAAAGGAUGGGUUAGAAGAAAUGGGGAGUAAAGUUACCAGUUAAUUUAUCGCUGGAAAUAGUCACAGACAAAUUCUUCAAGCCCGCAGGCCAGUGGUAUCCCUGGAGUCCACACAGAGCUGUUGCAAGCGAGCCCAGAAUCAAUGGGGACCUCCUCACCCUUGCAUCCCCGGCUGCUAACGGCAUUUAAUAUGUUCUAGUCUGGUGGGUGGGUUAAAGAGAAAAGACAAGCAUGGAAAGAAAGGGCCCUAGUUCAGCCCGAGAAGAUUUUAGAAGCGUUUUGGAACUGGAUCUCUAAUUUUGUUCAUCCUCAAAAAGCUUGGCAUCACAUAACUUGGUGUCAGAGUUGCAUUGCACUCAGGAAGCAUAUUUUAGCAGCCAUAAAAAAUUAAAAAGUAAAGUUUAUGUCUUUGAGAGAUCUGUAAUUACGCCACAACAAACUUACUAAAAUGCUAUUUCAAAACUAUAAUCAUUUUCCUCACUCAGCUCAGUCGCGUAAGCUCUCCAGCCCUACCUCCCACAAAGCCAAGUUUCCCUCUCCUUCCUUUUCUUCUCACUCAGGCUGUUAUUACGUGAUCUGCUUAGUAUCUCUUCCAGCAAGAAUUUCUUCUUUAGGAUGUUGAGAAAGGGGAACUGGAGUUGGUAAUUUAAUUAUAGGAUGCCUGUUGCAAGAUAGGGUAGCAGGAAGUCUAUGACUAUUCUCAUGUUAAUAAUUUUGCCCCAUAACAUCAUUUAAAUUAUUUUAUAUCUCCAUGUUCUUUUUUAUUGCUAUAAGAUUCAGAUUCUAAUUCAAAUCAAAUGUUUUAAAGAUUGAUUGAUCCAAAAUUGUUUAAUGAAGUAGCACAUUUCAAAACAGAGUGCUUUGUAGGAUUUAUGGCCGUGUACAUUGCAUGUAACUAAAAUAAAACAGUAUCAAA